rnacentral:rRNA from 1 species
GCAUGGCCUUUAUAUCCUGGGCUACACACACGCUACAAUGGUCUGUACAAUAGGUUGCCAAGCCGCGAGGCGGAGCCAAUCCUUAAAGCAGGCCUCAGUUCAGAUUGUAGGCUGCAACUCGCCUGCAUGAAGAUGGAGUUGCUAGUAACCGCAGGUCAGCAAUACUGCGGUGAAUACGUUCCCGGGUCUU